rnacentral:rRNA from 1 species
GGGGGGAAUGCGGAGGCUAUACAUGCAGUCGAGGGGUAGACGUCUUUCGGGAUGUUGAGACCGGCGCACGGGUGCGCAACGCGUAUGCAACCUGCCUCAAACUGGGGGAUAGCCCGGAGAAAUCCGGAUUAAUACCCCAUAAUAUAUUUGGAUCGCAUGGUUUGAAUAUUAAAGAUUUAUUGGUUUGAGAUGGGCAUGCGUUAGAUUAGCUAGUUGGUAAGGUAAAGGCUUACCAAGGCAACGAUCUAUAGCGGGUCUGAGAGGAUGAUCCGCCACACUGGUACUGAGACACGGACCAGACUCCUACGGGAGGCAGCAGUAGGGAAUAUUGGACAAUGGGCGAGAGCCUGAUCCAGCCAUCCCGCGUGCAGGAAGACUGCCCUAUGGGUUGUAAACUGCUUUUAUAAAGGAAGAAAAAUAGUCAUGCGUGACUUACUGACGGUACUUUAUGAAUAAGCACCGGCUAACUCCGUGCCAGCAGCCGCGGUAAUACGGAGGGUGCAAGCGUUAUCCGGAUUCACUGGGUUUAAAGGGUACGUAGGCGGGCAUAUAAGUCAGUGGUGAAAUCCUGCGGCUCAACCGUAGCACUGCCAUUGAAACUGUAUGUCUUGAGUAUGAUCGAUGUAGGCGGAAUGUAGCAUGUAGCGGUGAAAUGCAUAGAUAUGCUACAGAACACCAAUAGCGAAGGCAGCUUACAAGGUUAUUACUGACGCUGAGGUACGAAAGCGUGGGUAGCGAACAGGAUUAGAUACCCUGGUAGUCCACGCUGUAAACGAUGAUUACUCGCUGUUGCGU